rnacentral:tRNA from 1 species
CCCGGCUUAGCUCAGUGGUAGAGCGGCGGACUGUAGAUCCGCAUGUCCCCGGUUCGAGUCCGGGAGCCGGGA